GAAUUCGCCCUUAGAGUUUGAUCCUGGCUCAGGACGAACGCUGGCGGCGUGCCUAACACAUGCAAGUCGAACGAGAAUCGCAUGAAGGAGUUUUCGGACAACGGAUUGCGAGGACAGUGGCGGACGGGUGAGUAACGCGUGAGCAACCUGCCUUUCGGAGGGGGACAACAGUUGGAAACGACUGCUAAUACCGCAUAACAUGUAUUGACCGCAUGAUCGAUACAUCAAAGAUUUAUCGCCGAAAGAUGGGCUCGCGUCUGAUUAGAUAGUUGGUGGGGUAACGGCCUACCAAGUCGACGAUCAGUAGCCGGACUGAGAGGUUGAACGGCCACAUUGGGACUGAGAUACGGCCCAGACUCCUACGGGAGGCAGCAGUGGGGAAUAUUGGGCAAUGGGGGCAACCCUGACCCAGCAACGCCGCGUGAAGGAAGAAGGCUUUCGGGUUGUAAACUUCUUUUACCAGGGACGAAGACGUGACGGUACCUGGAGAAUAAGCCACGGCUAACUCCGUGCCAGCAGCCGCGGUAAUACGGAGGGUGCAAGCGUUGUCCGGAAUUAUUGGGCGUAAAGCGUUCGUAGGCGGUUUAUCAAGUCUGGUGUUAAAUCUUGGGGCUCAACUCCAAAUCUGCACUGGAUACUGGUAGACUAGAAUGAGGUAGAGGUAACGGGAAUUUCUGGUGUAACGGUGAAAUGUUUAGAUAUCAGGAAGAACAUCGGUGGCGUAAGCGCGUUACUGGGCCUUUAUUGACGCUGAGGAACGAAAGCCGGGGUAGCAAAUGGGAUUAGAUACCCCAGUAGUCCCGGUUGUAAACGAUGGAUACUAGGUGUUGCGGGUAUCGACCCCUGCAGUGCCGUAGCUAACGCGAUAAGUAUCCCGCCUGGGGAGUACGCACGCAAGUGUGAAACUCAAAGGAAUUGACGGGGACCCGCACAAGCGGUGGAACAUGUGGUUUAAUUCGAAGCAACGCGAAGAACCUUACCAAGGCUUGACAUCGAUAGAAUCCUGAUGAAAGUCGGGAGUGCCCUUCGGGGAACUUGAAGACAGAUAGUGCAUGGUUGUCGUCAGCUCGUGUCGUGAGAUGUUGGGUUAAGUCCCGCAACGAGCGCAACCCUCGUUAUUAGUUGCAUUUAUGCUCUCUAAUAAGACUGCCGGUGAUAAACCGGAGGAAGGUGGGGAUGACGUCAAAUCAUCAUGCUUCUUACGCCUUGGGCUACACACGUGUUACAAUGGUCGGCACAACGAGCAGCCAACUCGCGAGAGUGAGCGAAUCUCUUAAAUCCGGCCUCAGUUCGGAUCGUAGUCUGCAACUCGACUACGUGAAGUCGGAAUCGCUAGUAAACGCAGAUCAGCACGCUGCGUUGAAUACGUUCCCGGGUCUUGCACACACCGCCCGUCA
rnacentral:rRNA from 1 species